rnacentral:rRNA from 1 species
GAUGAACGCUGGCGGCGUGCCUAAUACAUGCAAGUCGAGCGAACAGACGAGGAGCUUGCUCCUCUGACGUUAGCGGCGGACGGGUGAGUAACACGUGGAUAACCUACCUAUAAGACUGGGAUAACUUCGGGAAACCGGAGCUAAUACCGGAUAAUAUAUUGAACCGCAUGGUUCAAUAGUGAAAGACGGUUUUGCUGUCACUUAUAGAUGGAUCCGUGCCGCAUUGGCUAGUUGGUAAGGUAACGGCUUACCAAGGCAACGAUGCGUAGCCGACCUGAGAGGGUGAUCGGCCACACUGGAACUGAGACACGGUCCAGACUCCUACGGGAGGCAGCAGUAGGGAAUCUUCCGCAAUGGGCGAAAGCCUGACGGAGCAACGCCGCGUGAGUGAUGAAGGUCUUCGGAUCGUAAAACUCUGUUAUUAGGGAAGAACAAAUGUGUAAGUAACUAUGCACGUCUUGACGGUACCUAAUCAGAAAGCCACGGCUAACUACGUG